rnacentral:lncRNA from 1 species
GCGUGGUACUGAAAGGAUCUUGGGAGGUGGUGUCCUGGCCAGACAUCCACCCAACAAGUGGUAUCAGAGCCAGGUUGGUACAAGGACGCAAGUUGCAGUGGUGGUGAGCAAGACUGAAGAUGGAGAAGACAGGAACAAUCAAGAUGGAGAUCAAUAAGUUCGAUGGUAAGAGCAAUUUCUCCUUGUGGCAGGCAAGGGUGAAGGA